UACGUAGGGUCCGAGCGUUGUCCGGAAUUAUUGGGCGUAAAGGGCUCGUAGGCGGUUUGUCGCGUCGGGAGUGAAAACACGGGGCUUAACCCCGUGCCUGCUUCCGAUACGGGCAGACUAGAGGUAUGCAGGGGAGAACGGAAUUCCUGGUGUAGCGGUGAAAUGCGCAGAUAUCAGGAGGAACACCGGUGGCGAAGGCGGAUCUCUGGGCCUUACCUGACGCUGAGGAGCGAAAGCGUGGGGAGCAAACAGG
rnacentral:rRNA from 1 species